rnacentral:rRNA from 1 species
AGUGAACGCUGGCGGCGUGCCUAAUACAUGCAAGUCGAACGGAAUUUAAAAGAGCUUGCUCUUUUGAAUUUAGUGGCGCACGGGUGAGUAAUAUAUAGCUAAUCUGCCCCUUGCUGGAGGACAACAGUUAGAAAUGACUGCUAAUACUCCAUACUCCUUUUUACCAUAAGAUAAAUCGGGAAAGAAUUUCGGCAAGGGAUGAGACUAUAUCGUAUCAGCUAGUCGGUGGGGUAACGGCCUACCGAGGCUAUGACGCGUAACUGGUCUGAGAGGAUGAUCAGUCACAUUGGAACUGAGACACGGUCCAAACUCCUACGGGAGGCAGCUGUAGGGAAUAUUGCGCAAUGGGGGAAACCCUGACGCAGCAACGCCGCGUGGAGGAUGACACUUUUCGGAGCGUAAACUCCUUUUGUUAGGGAAGAAUAAUGACGGUACCUAACGAAUAAGCACCGGCUAA